rnacentral:misc_RNA from 1 species
UUGAAUGAACUUGGUGUGGUUGUCGCUGGCCCUCUCGGGGGCAUGUGCACACCCACCAUCCUCAUCUCUCCACCUGUGCACCUCAUGUAGACUUGGAUUGACUUUCCGAGGCAACUCGGUCGGGAGGACUGCUAACAUGCUGGCUUUCCUUGCAUUUCCAGGUCUAUGUUUUUCAUAUACCCCAUUGUAUGUAACAGAAUGUAUCAUUGGGCACUUGUGCCUAUAAAACUUAU